AAUAAGUUUAUUCUUUUAGUUUUUUUAUAGAAUGUUUGACUUUUUGUCUUAUUUGAAUUUUUUUUACGAUUAAUAUUUUUAUUAUUAUUAGAUGAUAAAAUACGAAUAGUAUUUUAUACAUGACUAUUUUUAUAAAACUUUUUUAUAACUUUUUAAAAUAAAACGGAUGGCCAAACGCUAGACAGAAAAACU
rnacentral:pre_miRNA from 1 species